UUGGUUAAUUAUUGGUUCGGUUAAUCUAAAAAUUGAUUUUUUUAACCAUGGUUUUUCAAUUAACUAUAUAAAAAAACAAAAUGAAAUGAGAAAGAAAAAUAAAAAAGAUGGGUCUGGUUCACCGAUCUUUCAAGGGAGAAGGUGCAUAUGUGCUCCUAAUGUUUUUAGCGAGGCCUUUAAUCUUUUUUUGGCACAAAAACACAUGAGAAAAUAUUCUUGCUACAUCUUAAGCCCUUAAUUAAACCUUCUUGUAGGAAUAAACAAAUAAUUUCUCUUAGCUGAUGUGGCAACUGAUAUGGGACUAUAAUAACAAUAAUAAAUCCUUUAUCUUUCUCUUACCUGCGAUAUUAUAUAGGGAGGAAACCUAAAAAUUGAAAUUAGAAAUUGCGCAAGGAGAAAAUGGGGUUAUUUCAAGAAUAAAAAGUCCAGGGAGAUUUUGGAGAGUUAGAGCGAUGGCUUCUUCUUCCUCCUCCACCUCAGCAAGCUAGAAACACGAUUAAAUAAGGAGAUUUUUUAUAAUGGAUCUCCAAAAUUCUGCAGGUGUGGAGAUAGAGGUAUGAAGGUGAAGGCACCAGGUGGACAGACCAAAAUCCAGAGAGUUUUUUUAGGUACCCUAAUCACAACUGAUGUCCCUAAAGCUGUUGUAGAUGAGCUUUGCUGCUAAAGAUAUAUGGCCUGCUAACUGUAUGUGCCACCUCCGGACCUCUUGUAAAAGAAAGGAUCUGCAGUCACCAUCUCUUACUAUAAUAAAUACAAGUUGACUCUAGUUUUAAGCAGCAGAUGUGAAGAAGACAUUCCAUUAUUUUACAAAAAAAAUUGAAAAUCUUAAUGAUUAUGUGUGUACCAAUUUCUUAACAUAAUAUUAUUUUUUGCAUUACUGAGUAA